AUCCUGGCUCAGAACGAACGUUAGCGGCGCGCCUAACACAUGCAAGUCGAGCGAGAAGGGGGCAACCCCUGUAAAGCGGCGCACGGGUGAGUAACACGUAGGUAAUCUACCUCGAGGUGGUGGAUAACCUUCCGAAAGGAGGGCUAAUACAGCAUGGGACCACGUCUUCGAAAGAGGAUGAGGUAAAAGCGGGCCUCUAUACAUAAGCUCGCGCCACGAGAUGAGCCUGCGGCCCAUCAUGGUAGUUGGUAGGGUAACGGCCUACCAAGCCGAAGACGGGUAGCUGGUCUGAGAGGAUGAUCAGCCACACUGGAACUGAGACACGGUCCAGACUCCUACGGGAGGCAGCAGUGGGGAAUCUUGCGCAAUGGGCGAAAGCCUGACGCAGCGACGCCGCGUGAGUGAUGAAGGCCUCGGUGUAAGCUCUGUGGAGGGGGACGGAAGU
rnacentral:rRNA from 1 species